UGAAGGUAGAGAAAGGAGCUACAAGCCAAAAAAAAAAAAAAUGCAGAUGUCCUCUGGAAGUGCAAAAAUGCAAGGAGCCUCUGGAUUCUCUCCUGAAUUCUCUAAAAGGAACACAGUCCUGUCAACACCUUGAUUUCAGCACAGUGAAACCCAUUCUGGACUUAGGAGCUUCAGAACUAUAAGAUAAUAUAUUCAUGCUGUUUAAGUUACUAAGUUAGUGCUAUUUGUCACAGCAGCAAAAGGAAACAAAUACAGUAUGUUACUUCCAAUAUUAGGUCAUAAAAGACCAUAGCUUCUAUCUUGGGCUCUUUGUUUCUGUCUUUUGCAUUGCUCAUUCUGGGGAAAGCGAGCUGUAAAGUAAUAAGGAAACCCAAGCAGCCGAAGGAGAGGCCCCUAUGGCAAGGAACUGAAGCCUACUAACACAUGAGAGAGCUUGGAAGCAGUUCUUGAGCUCCAGUGGAACUUCAGACGACUACAGCCCUGACAGGUUGACUGCAACUGCGUACAAGAUCCUAAACCAGAACCACCCAACUAAGCUGAUCCUGGAUUCCUGAUGCAACGGAAACUCUAAGAUAAUAUUAAUAUUUGUUGCUUUAAGCUGCUAAAUUUCAAGGUAAUCUGCAACACAGCAAUAGCUAACUAAUACAAUAUCCUUGUGUAGUCUCCACCGACACAGAAUCAGGCUGGCCUAUGUGACAAGUGGAAUCCUGAAGAAGUGACAGUAUAAGACUUCUUAAGAUAGGUCCUAAAAAUUAUUGCAGCUUCUGCUUUAAACUGUUGGAUCAUUCACUCUGGAGAAAAGCAGCUGACAUGUCAUGAGCACACUCAGGCAGCCCUGUAGAGCAAGCAACUUGUCAGUCAUGUGAGAGAGUCACGUUGGAAGUAUACCCUCCAGCUCAAGUCAUGCCCUUGACAAUUUCAGCCCUUCAGCCUUCAAAUCAUCCAGCUGAGGCCCCAGACCUUAUAGAGCAGAGACAGACCCUGCCAACUGUGCUCUCUUUGAAUGCUUGACCCGCUGAAACUAUCUUUCUGAAAGGGAGGGAAAGAAAUUUUUUAAAAUUAUUAACUCACAAGGACAAAAUGAAUGGUAGGGGAGACUACAUGAAACAACAUUUCAACAAAUUCUCAGAAAAUGGAAAGGAGAUGGAGCAGAAGUAAUGAGUUUAACAGAGUGGAAGAAGUGGCAACCUGAAAACCUACAGAGGAGUUUUACUCCAGAGAAGAAGUGAGCACUUUCGCCCUGUGCCCAGAGAGGCACAGCUACUUCAGAUUGUGAAGUACUUCAGGUGUGAAGUCAGGAUAUGAAAAUGGAAAACUGACCAAAAAAUUGUACACAAAAUGCUUGACUGGCCAGUGUGAUGAUUAACUGUCAUCACACUUGUCCGGCUUAAGGAAUACCUGGAAACCUGUUAAAGCACGAUCUUGGUGUGUGUCUCUACGGUGUUUUCCAAGGAGAUUAGCAUGUGAGUCCUGAGUGGACUAGGUGGAGAAGAUCCACCCUUAGUGUGGGCAGACAUCAUCCAAUUGGCUGAGGGCCAGGAGAGAACAAACACAGAGGACAGGUGAAUGUGUCUUUCAAGCUCCUGGAGCUGAGAUACACUCCUCCUCCUCUUGGAUGUCAGAAACCCAGGCUCCCUGGCUCUUAGACUCCAGGACUUAACACCAGCUGCCGCUCACCCCAGGUUCUCAGAUCUUUGGCCUUGGACUGAGAGUUACACCACCAGCGGCCCUGAUGUUGAGACCUUCACACUUGGACUGAGUCAUGCCCCCAGCAUCCUGCGGGCCCCAAUUUGCAGACAGCCUGUCUUGGGGAUUUUUCAGCCUCCAUAACCACAUGAGCCAAUUCCCCUAAUAAAUUCCCUCUCAUAUAUUUAUAUGUAUUUACAUGUAUAUUCUAUUGGUUCUGUCUCUCUGUGGAACCCUGACUAACCCAGCUAGGUUUCCUAUCCUACCCCAGGCAAGGAAGCAGAUACCCCUCUUUCCUCCCAGCAACCACCUAUCCCUUCAUCUCCCCUCAAACACUUAUUCUCUGGAGAAGAUGAAUGAAGAAGUUCCAGGCUUAAGGAUGCUGUGGAGAGCUGAGGAGAUGAGGGAUUUCAAGUAGGAGCAUCAAGUGAAAAUGAGCACACUGAACUGUGGGAGCCUAGGGUUAUCUCUCUGUGAAGAAAGCAAUAUGUUGUGACAACCUCAGAUCCAAGAAAUUCAACAAACCCAGGCACAAGCAACAUGAAGAAAAUUAUAGCAAGGCACAAAUCAAAUUUCCCCAAACUAAUGAUAAAGAGAAGAUCCUAGGAACCAGAGAAGAAAGCCUUGUUACAUAUACAGGAACAAAGCCACUAACUCUAUCAGGAAUAAUUAUACUCUGACUUCCAACAGAGCUCUGCUAUGUGUACAUACCUCAUUUAAGGGCAUUGACAAAUAAGUGAAGCUGAAGACAAUGAUUGUAAGAAGUACAUUUCAUCAUUCUCCUUCUCCAAGCUUCUCCCUCAAAGGACAGAGAACUGUUCUCCCUCUCUCUCUGCAUUUCAAAUCCCUCUUUUAUUACUUCUUCAAACAUUUACACUUCUGCCUCUCACUUACGUGUGUCUUCUCAAUUUCUAUCUCUAGGUUCUCUGGGGUUAUCUUUGUUUCUUCUCUGUAUUUUUCUAUUUAUAUUCCCUUCACUUUUUUCCUUCCUGUCACUCCUAUGCCUUUAUGUGUCUUGGUAAACUCUUUAAGCGUAGGUAUUGAAAGUUCAAUUCUUGACAUUUUCACUUCUUACAUUCUUCUUCAGUGAUCAUAGCCAGUUUCAUGAUUUAAACUAGCAAUUCUAUGUGGCUGAAUUCCAGAUCUGACUUUCUAGCUCUAACCUUUCUUUCUCUUUUGUCAAUCUAGUCAACUACCUCAUCAACAGUUUAUGAAUGCCUGCCAUAUUGGUUGAAUUUCAAUGUUCUAUGUAACAUCAUAAAAGUUCACAGCAUAUGAAGGUUCUUACCAACAUUUACUAGGUAGAUGGCUCUUGACUUUGUGCUAUGUAUCUUGCUGACAAAGGCUAGCAUUUUCAUAAUCUGCAUUCCUGUCCCCCACAAAUCACCACACGGAAUUUGAAAAAUAAA
rnacentral:lncRNA from 1 species